rnacentral:lncRNA from 1 species
AGAGCCAGGAUCAGAAUAUAGAAACAGUGAAAUUGUUGAGAGCACCAGAGACAAGAGAGCUGGCUGACAGGGCUGGUGUUGCCCACGGAGAGAGCAGCAUGGAUUCACCAGCCUGAUUUGCUGCUUCUUCCUGCAUCCAGCCUGCUCCUGGGUCUCCUUCCCCACCUCACAGCCAUGGCAACCAAAUGCACGGGCUUGUGAAGACCAGCAGCCCAACUUCAGCAAGGUCUCGCUGGCCUGGACAGAAGAGCCAAGAUGAAUUACCAUGUGCAUGGAGAGAAGCCAUGGCCCAAGGAUGGGAAUUGCAGAUCUGGAGGCUGAAGCCCCACAUUGGCAUCCUGGCUCUACUCCCACUGGUUCUGUCACCCUGGGCAAGGCACUUCUCCCAAGCUGCAGUUCUGCCAACUGAGAAGCAGAGACAAUGACACUUGUUCCGCUCACCUUGCAGGGUUGUUGUGAGAAGGAAAUAAAGUAUUUGGAAG